UGGGGAAUAUUGGACAAUGGGCGCAAGCCUGAUCCAGCCAUGCCGCGUGAGUGAUGAAGGCCUUAGGGUUGUAAAGCUCUUUCAACGGGGAAGAUAAUGACGGUACCCGCAGAAGAAGCCCCGGCUAACUUCGUGCCAGCAGCCGCGGUAAUACGAAGGGGGCUAGCGUUGCUCGGAAUCACUGGGCGUAAAGCGCACGUAGGCGGAUUCUUAAGUCAGGGGUGAAAUCCCGGAGCUCAACUCCGGAACUGCCUUUGAUACUGAGAAUCUCGAGUUCGGGAGAGGUGAGUGGAACUGCGAGUGUAGAGGUGAAAUUCGUAGAUAUUCGCAAGAACACCAGUGGCGAAGGCGGCUCACUGGCCCGAUACUGACGCUGAGGUGCGAAAGCGUGGGGAGCAAACAGGAUUAGAUACCCGCGUAGUCC
rnacentral:rRNA from 1 species